GUACACCUACGGGGGGCAGCAGUGGGGGAUAUUGCACAAUGGGGGAAACCCUGAUGCAGCGACGCCGCGUGGGUGAAGAAGCGCCUCGGCGCGUAAAGCCCUGUCAGCAGGGAAGAAAAUGACGGUACCUGAAGAAGAAGCCCCGGCUAACUAAGUGCCAGCAGCCGCGGGAAUACGCAGGGGGCAAGCGUUAUCCGGAUUUACUGGGUGUAAAGGGGGCUCAGACGGCGAUGCAAGCCAGGA
rnacentral:rRNA from 1 species